rnacentral:rRNA from 1 species
UUACCUUCGGGUAUUGAGGAUGGCGGACGGGUGAGUAACGCGUAAGGAACUUGCCUCUUGGUCUGGGACAACUGUUGGAAACGACAGCUAAUACCGGAUAUUAUGAGAUUCUCGCAUGGGAAACUUAUGAAAGCUAUAUGCGCCAAGAGAGAGCCUUGCGUUCCAUUAGCUAGUUGGUGGGGUAACGGCCCACCAAGGCGACGAUGGAUAGCCGGCCUGAGAGGGUGAACGGCCACAAGGGGACUGAGACACGGCCCUUACUCCUACGGGAGGCAGCAGUGGGGAAUAUUGGACAAUGGGCCACAAGCCUGAUCCAGCAAUUCUGUGUGCACGAUGAAGGUCUUCGGAUUGUAAAGUGCUUUCAGUUGGGAAGAAGAAAGUGACGGUACCAACAGAAGAAGCGACGGCUAAAUACGUGCCAGCAGCCGCGGUAAUACGUAUGUCGCAAGCGUUAUCCGGAUUUAUUGGGCGUAAAGCGCGUCUAGGCGGAAAAAUAAGUCUGAUGUUAAAAUGCGGGGCUCAACUCCGUAUUGCGUUGGAAACUGUUUUUCUAGAGUACUGGAGAGGUGGGCGGAACUACAAGUGUAGAGGUGAAAUUCGUAGAUAUUUGUAGGAAUGCCGAUGGAGAAGUCAGCUCACUGGACAGAUGCUGACGCUAAAGCGCGAA